CGGGCGUUGUUGCGGGGUGCGCGCGGCGGGAGCGAGGGGAGGCUGUGAGGGAGGCGGCGGGCAGCGUGCGGGACAUGUCGGCCCGGACGGCCCUCGGCAGCGCGCAGUAUUUGUCCCGGCGCAUCCCCCAGAACCCCAAAUACCAACACGUAAAAACCCGUUUGGACACUGGCAACAGUUUGUCCAAAUACAUGGAGAAGCUGGAGGAGAUUAAGAGAAGUGAGUAUUGGGGAGGAGAAAAAUGGGUGAAAAACGGGUUAUUUCCAAUAUCAAGGAGCAGGGGGGGGGGGGAAUCCCAGGA